rnacentral:rRNA from 1 species
GAUGAACGCUAGCGGCAGGCUUAACACAUGCAAGUCGAGGGGCAGCAUGAUAAGUAGCAAUACUUAUUGAUGGCGACCGGCGCAAGGGUGCGUAACGCGUGAGUAACAUGCCCGUAUCAGGAGGAUAACCCGGAGAAAUCCGGACUAAUACUGCAUAAUAUCGAUUUAAGGCAUCUUAGAAUGAUUAAAGUUUCGACGGAUACGGAUUGGCUCGCGUGACAUUAGCUAGAUGGUAAGGUAACGGCUUACCAUGGCGACGAUGUCUAGGGGUUCUGAGAGGAAGGUCCCCCACACUGGAACUGAGACACGGUCCAGACUCCUACGGGAGGCAGCAGUGAGGAAUAUUGGGUCCAAAUGGACGCAAGUCUGAACCAGCCAUGCCGCGUGCAGGAUGACGGCUCUAUGAGUUGUAAACUGCUUUUGUACAAGGGUAAACCUCGGUACGUGUACCGAGCUGAAAGUACUGUACGAAUAAGGAUCGGCUAACUCCG